CCUACGGGAGACAGCAGUGGGGAAUAUUGCACAAUGGGCGCAAGCCUGAUGCAGCGACGCCGCGUGCGGGAUGGAGGCCUUCGGGUUGUAAACCGCUUUUGUUCAAGGGCAAGGCACGGUCUUUGUCCGUGUUGCGUGGAUUGUUCGAAUAAGCACCGGCUAACUACGUGCCAGCAGCCGCGGUAAUACGUAGGGUGCAAGCGUUAUCCGGAUUUAUUGGGUUUAAAGGGUGCGUAGGCGGAAUGCCACGUCAGCGGUAAAAUCGCGGGGCUCAACCUCGCUCCGCCGUUGAAACUGGCGUUCUUGAGUGGGCGAGAAGUAUGCGGAAUGCGUGGUGUAGCGGUGAAAUGCAUAGAUAUCACGCAGAACUCCGAUUGCGAAGGCAGCAUACCGGCGCCCAACUGACGCUGAAGCACGAAAGCGUGGGUAUCGAACAGGAUUAGAUACCCCAGUAGUC
rnacentral:rRNA from 1 species